GGGUCGAUUCCAGAGCGGUCAAAUGGGACGGACUGUAAAUCCGUUGACUUCGUCUUCGAAAGUUCGAAUCUUUCUCGGCCCACCA
rnacentral:tRNA from 1 species